rnacentral:lncRNA from 1 species
CCUUAUUCUUUAUGUGUAUGGGUGUGUUAUCUCCGUGUGCAUGUCUUAGGAGUGAAGCUCAACCAUGAAAUGCCCACCAUGGUGGAGAGGGAGUGCAGCCAUGAGAUGUCCAGCCAUGGUGAGAAUGCUCAUUGAAAACUCCAGCUGAUACCUUCAACUUCAGAGGGCUUCUAUUGGAUAUGUCCUAUUUCAGAACAACGUACCCGGGGUGGAAGAGGACGCAGAUCAAUCUAAACACCGUCAAAAUACACGGCAGUGCCUUCCAGCUGCGCACAGCAUGGGCCCACAGAUGCAGGGGCUGGAGCUGAAGCUUGCACACGGCCCAUAUCAGGAGCAGGGGCCCGAGGCCAACCCACAGUGAAACCUCACAUGGCUGGGAAGCGUACAUGGGGGCUGUCUGCUGCAGCAGAGCAUGGCUUCGGGACCACGCAGGACUGGAUUAAAGUUUUGUUUCCUCACG